GGGUCAAUAGCGCAGUCUGGCAGCGCAAUCGCUUUCUAUGCGACAGGUCUCUGGUUCAAAUCCGGAUUGAUCCG